AUAAAAGUGAAAAUGCACUAAUUUUACAUAUGUAACAUGUCUGAAUCUGUGUUUUCAGCUUUUUCGACCUUCGUAUGGUUUUAAUCUGACAGAUCCUUAUUGUCGACUUUUGGAAAACCAAUAUAAAAGUCUCCAUGAUCCACAUUUAAAAGCAUAUUAUAGACGCAAAGAUAUCCUGAGGAGACUGAAGAAAGGUGGCUACAUCACCAACAAUAACAAAAUUGUUUGUAGCUUGAAGGAAUUAAAUAAGUACAGGCAAUAUCUCACCAACUUAAAAUUAGACUUUGAAAGAAACUAUAUAAGAGAACAAGUAAGUUGCAUAUUUAAUUAUGGUUUGUUUAAGUAAUUUGGAAGAACAGUUCAAUUCUUUGUAGAAUAUUUUCUUGUAAUAUUUUGACCUUCCUGACAAAGUAAAUAAACAUUUUUCUAAAUGAAAAUUUAGAGUAGGAAUAAGCGACAUCUUGGAGGUUGCCAUAUUUCAUCAAGAAGGGGAGAGGGAGAAUCUGUAUCACUGCACCAUCGCUAGCUGGCACGAUUUGGUAAUUAAGGGGCCAGGCAAACCCAUUAGUGCUACCUGACCUGUGACUAAUAAGGACUAUCUAUUGUGACAUCAGGAUUCUACAACUGGAACCCAAAACAGCUUCAGCAACAGAAGAAGGGGAGUAUGAGUAUCCGCACUGUUCUACAAGUGACUCAUAGGACCUACACAUGGUGUUCUUGUCCCUACACACGUGUACUUGUAUUUAUCUAGUAGAAAAUGUUGUUCUUAAACAUGAAUUCGAUUGCUGAGUGUAAAGUGAGUGGGAACAGUGAUUUCCUUUUGAGUUUUGACUCACAGUUGUAUUUGGCACAUGUGUGCCCAAGUGUGUAAAGUGAGUGCAUUCAGGAUUGGAGCAAGAGAGCUCAGAUUGAAGCAAGUGUGGUUUAACAUUUUUAUAUUCUAAGAUUAAUAGAGUAG
rnacentral:lncRNA from 1 species